rnacentral:other from 1 species
AACUGCCUGCGGUAUUCGUUUAUACUAUUUCGUUGGGCCAACAUUUAUCCCUAGGGGAAUCCUCAUGGGGUGGUGGAGUUUAUGAAGCCGCCUACGGGAUGCCCACUUGAAUAAAAGGGACUCAACUGAAAUAGAUUCCAUGAACGGUACCGCGGGUUUUUU